rnacentral:rRNA from 1 species
AGCGAACGCUGGCGGCAGGCCUAACACAUGCAAGUCGAACGAACUCUUCGGAGUUAGUGGCGGACGGGUGAGUAACACGUGGGAACGUGCCUUUUGGUUCGGAAUAACUCAGGGAAACUUGUGCUAAUACCGAAUGUGCCCUUCGGGGGAAAGAUUUAUCGCCAUUAGAGCGGCCCGCGUCUGAUUAGCUAGUUGGUGAGGUAACGGCUCACCAAGGCGACGAUCAGUAGCUGGUCUGAGAGGAUGACCAGCCACACUGGGACUGAGACACGGCCCAGACUCCUACGGGAGGCAGCAGUGGGGAAUCUUGCGCAAUGGGCGAAAGCCUGACGCAGCCAUGCCGCGUGAAUGAUGAAGGUCUUAGGGUUGUAAAAUUCUUUCACCGGGGACGAUAAUGACGGUACCCGGAGAAGAAGCCCCGGCUAACUUCGUG